GACGGCUUGUUCAAGCGUGGUUCGGAAUCACUGGGCGUAAAGCGCGUGUAGGCGGUUCGAUAAGUCGGACGUGAAAGCCCGGGGCUUAACCCCGGAAGGGCAUCCGAAACUGUCGAGCUUGAGUACGGGAGAGGGAAGCGGAAUUCCUGGUGUAGAGGUGAAAUUCGUAGAUAUCAGGAGGAACACCGGUGGCGAAGGCGGCUUCCUGGACCGAUACUGACGCUGAGACGCGAAAGCGGGGGGAGCACACAGGAGGCGAUAACCGCGUAGUCC
rnacentral:rRNA from 1 species